rnacentral:rRNA from 1 species
CCUACGGGGGGCUGCAGUCGAGAAUAUUCAGCAAUGGGCGCAAGCCUGACUAUGCGACGCCGCGUGAGGGAUGAAGGUUUUCGGAUCGUAAACCUCUUUCGACAGGGAAGAAACUGCCUAUAGAAAUAUAGGAACUGACCGUACCUGGAGAAGAAGCCACGGCCAACUCCGUGCCAGCAGCCGCGGUAAUACGGGGGUGGCGAGCGUUACUCGGAUUUACUGGGUGUAAAGGGUAGGUAGGUGGCUUUGUAAGUUGAAGGUGAAAUCCUAUGACUUAAUCAUAGAACUGCCUUCAAAACUACAUUGCUUGAGGACAGAAGAGGAAAGCGGAAUUCUCGGUGUAAGGGUGAAAUCUGUAGAUAUCGAGAGGAACACCCGUGGCGAAAGCGGCUUUCUGGUCUGUCCCUGACGCUGAAGUACGAAAGCUAGGGGAGCAAACAGGAUUAGAUACCCCGGUAGUC